CUGGUUCUGAAUCAAGGCCAGCAGCUUCCUGAUGCUGUUGGUUUCAAGCAGGAGUCUAAAGAGAUGUCUUUCUAUGAUCUGUUGGCCAUUUCAGAACUUGAGCGCGAAAUGGUUUAUUCAUUAGAAAGAAACAGCU
ensembl:snoRNA